rnacentral:rRNA from 1 species
GAUGAACGCUGGCGGCGUGCCUAAUACAUGCAAGUCGAGCGAACGGACGAGAAGCUUGCUUCUCUGAUGUUAGCGGCGGACGGGUGAGUAACACGUGGAUAACCUACCUAUAAGACUGGGAUAACUUCGGGAAACCGGAGCUAAUACCGGAUAAUAUUUUGAACCGCAUGGUUCAAAAGUGAAGGACGGUCUUGCUGUCACUUAUAGAUGGAUCCGCGCUGCAUUAGCUAGUUGGUAAGGUAACGGCUUACCAAGGCAACGAUGCAUAGCCGACCUGAGAGGGUGAUCGGCCACACUGGAACUGAGACACGGUCCAGACUCCUACGGGAGGCAGCAGUAGGGAAUCUUCCGCAAAGGGCGAAAGCCUGACGGAGCAACGCCGCGUGAGUGAUGAAGGUCUUCGGAUCGUAAAACUCUGUUAUUAGGGAGGAACAUAUGUGUAAGUAACUGUGCACAUCUUGACGGUACCUAAUCAGAAAGCCACGGCUAACUACGUG